UUUCCGUAGGUGAACCUGCGGAAGGAUCAUUAUUGAAUGAAACACUUCUGGCAUUAUGCUGUUGUGCUGGCCCUUUGGGCAAUGUGCACACGGCUCUGGUCACUUGUUUCUUCUGUUCCACCUGUGCACUGCCUGUAGACACGCUGUGUCUAUGAUAUUUGUUAACACACAACAAUGUUAGUUGGCAUGUCAUAUAUAAUAAUAAAAUAUACAACUUUCAACAACGGAUCUCUUGGCUCUC
rnacentral:misc_RNA from 1 species